UGGGGAAUAUUGCACAAUGGGCGCAAGCCUGAUGCAGCCAUGCCGCGUGUGUGAAGAAGGCCUUCGGGUUGUAAAGCACUUUCAGCGAGGAGGAAGGUGGUGAGCUUAAUACGCUCAUCAAUUGACGUUACUCGCAGAAGAAGCACCGGCUAACUCCGUGCCAGCAGCCGCGGUAAUACGGAGGGUGCAAGCGUUAAUCGGAAUUACUGGGCGUAAAGCGCACGCAGGCGGUUUGUUAAGUCAGAUGUGAAAAUCCCCGGGCUCAACCUGGGAACUGCAUUUGAAACUGGCAAGCUAGAGUCUCGUAGAGGGGGUAGAAUUCCAGGUGUAGCGGUGAAAUGCGUAGAGAUCUGGAGGAAUACCGGUGGCGAAGGCGGCCCCCUGGANGAAGACUGACGCUCAGGUGCGAAAGCGUGGGGAGCAAACAGAUUAGAUACCCUGGUAGUCCACGCUGUAAACGAUGUCGAUUUUGGAGGUUGUGCCCCUGAGGCGUGGNUUCCGGAGCUAACGNGUUAAAUGACCGCC
rnacentral:rRNA from 1 species